rnacentral:misc_RNA from 1 species
UGAGCGCGGGAGCCCCUACGAACCGCAGCGCGCGGUUUCCUGGGUGACAGGUCGCUACUGCUUUCGGGACCGAGGUGGCAACGGUGGGCGAGUGAAAAAAGGCAAGGGAGAGAGAGAGUGAGAAAGACGGAGAGGGGCCGGGAGAAGGAGAGAGACGGAGCGCGUCCGCUCAACGACGACGACGACGACGACGACGACGGGGAGACACGUCGUUCGGCCGCGCAAGUGCGCCCGGGCGCCGUUGCGUUCGUGCACACGUCAUUCAUGAAGACAGACUCGUCUCUCCAACAGCGGGGAGGUAGCAGCGGUGGUGGUGAUUCAGUGGGUGCAGAGAGAGGUGAAGGAGUGAUUGCCAUGACUACGACAGGAGCCCAGUAUGCCCUCGCAGCAGCAUCCACCGGGGCUAAUAACAGUGGGGGUAGCUCCGCAGCGGUAGGGGUGGAAUCUAAGCCAAGUGUGGUUGUCGUGACUACUACUUCCAGUUCCAGUGGCGGUGGCAGCGGGGCACAAACUCAGUCAGCCAGAGGCCAGCAGCUUAUCACUGUUGUAACCAGCCCAGAUCCUUCCAGUCCAAAUAAUCUGCAACCUAUCCAGUUAUUGGUUCAGGACCCGCUUGAAACAGCUGCAGAUUCUUCCAACGGAUCGACAGGUACACCAGCACAUGUUACAGCACAGGUAGUAGUCAACACUACUCACGCGGGCCAGCACACGCUAGUGGAUUCUGACGCUGCCUCUACAUCGGCUGGUACUAUCGUCAGCGGUUCUCCACACUACAUAACAGUUACAGGCACCAGUGAUUCGCCAUCCUACGCGUCCCUCACAACGGCUGUAGUGUCGGGUGACGCGGAGGCGGUGGGUUCCGAAUCGGUCUCCCAUCCGACUUACGUUCAAUAUGUCGAGGGGGAUGGUUCCACGUAUAUACCGGCGAAUGGCCAGAUGACAUAUCCCGUUUACGCGGUCGGUGAGGCAGGGGCGAUGUACACGCCGGCUUCGAGUCAGUACUACACUCCAGCAACGACGCCAGUAACGUACGCGCAGGUCACGGGACAAGGCUCGAACACGACGACCGGGCAACUAUUAUCACAGGGCAACGGUACAUACCUAAUUCAACAGAGCGUAGUAGAUGGAGACGCGACCACGCACGCGCUCAUAUCGGCGGCUGCCGCCCGCGCCAGUCCGCAGACGGAAACGGCGGAGGCAGUGGUUAGCGGGGGUGGAGGGACGUUCUUGAUCAGCGGUAAUUCCGGAAGUGCUACGGUCACCGUGGAAGAAGCAGCGGCCGCGGCUGCAAACAUGACGCAUGCCACUAGGGUCUCCCAGGCAACCAUGCAUUGGUUACUGGAAAAUUACGAAACCGCCGACGGCGUGUCCCUCCCAAGAUCGACUCUCUAUAAUCAUUAUCUACGCCAUUGCUCCGAUAACAAAUUAGAUCCUGUGAAUGCGGCCAGCUUCGGGAAAUUAAUACGUUCUGUAUUUGUGGGAUUGAGAACUAGGCGUUUAGGGACUAGAGGGAACUCGAAAUACCAUUACUACGGGAUUCGCGUGAAGCCAAGCUCGCCUCUGGUAAUGAUGAACGAGGACGGCACGUCGAGGCAGCAGCAGGGCGGGAACUCGCAGACCAAGCGGUUCAAGUUCGUCAAUCAGAAGCAGGAGUCGUCCUAUGAGAAUAACACGCACGCGAACACGAACAUCUCCUCCAACUCCUCGCCGCCGCAGUAUCAUCAGUACUUCGGCGAGGCGAGUCGCGCCAUUCCCGAUUUCCCGGAGAUCUUUAUCGGCUCGUCCCUGCCGGAAGACUGCACGCUCGAAGACAUCGAUACAUUCCGCAACAUAUACCGGGAGCAUUGCGAAGCCUUCCUCGACGCAGUAUUGAAUUUCGAGUUCGCCACGGUGGAGAGCCUCUGGAGGGAGUUCUGGCGCAGCCAGGACAACAAUAACGGUGACGAGUGCGAAGAGGAGAACUAUUUAUCAAAAACCAAAUUAUAUCAGAUGUGUAAGUGUACAGGGGUGCAAGAUUUUAUCAAAAAAGUGGACUAUACAUUUUAUCAGAAUCUAGUCGAAGUAUUAAUGCCUAAUGUAUUGCAGCCGAUACCAAGUUCGUUGACGCAGUCUAUACGAAAUUUUGCGAAAGGAUUAGAGUCCUGGUUACAGUCAGCCAUGGCCGAUUGCCCCGAGGAAAUGAUGCAAAUUAAGUUAACUGCAGUGUCAGCUUUUGCUCAAACCUUAAGGCGCUACACGUCAUUGAAUCAUCUCGCACAGGCCGCACGAGCAGUGCUCCAGAAUUCUACACAGAUCAAUCAAAUGCUAGCCGAUCUGAAUCGCGUUGACUUUCACAACGUGCAGGAACAAGCAUCCUGGGUGUGCCAGUGCGACUAUGGAAUGGUACAGCGGCUGGAGGCGGAUUUUAAGGUGACGCUACAGCAGCAGAAUUCACUGGAGGACUGGGCGAUUUGGCUGAAGGGAGUGGUGACUCAAGUGCUUAAGCCGUUCGAGGAGAAGCCAACGUUCGCUACAGCGGCGCGUCAAUUCUUGCUCAAGUGGUCGUUUUACAGAGCAUCAGGUCGCCAUCGCAACGGGAACCACGCCGAUAGCUGUAAUGGGAGAUAAAAGUCAAAACUGCUCUUUAGUCAAUAAUUACGGAGCAACGUCUAACGGAGAUGCGUCUAAUGCAAGCCAACCGAAACGUAUGAAGCUGAGCUAACUGCGUGCCUACGCCCUUUAGUUAUGCGAGUAGCACAGGAGGAUGCGGGGAUACUAGCACGAAAACAUGCAGGCCUACUACAAGAACAUACUAGUCUCGUAAAUUAUUAUUUUGUAUAACGUCAGAUUGUAAUUAUUACGACUUAUGAGAGGAAGAUUUUUGCAUAACGCCCAUACAACGGUGUAAUACAAUUUAAGUAAGUCUGUGUGAUAUAAGAUAUAGAGAGAAAAAAAGGAAGUAUGUAUGUAUUCCGCGAAGCCUUGUCUCAUAUACAGGUACGGCGCAGGUUUAAGGUAUCGCGCUGGCACGAUGUCUAGUACGUUAGUGUAUAUUGAAUCUAGUCGAAACAUCUUUGGGAGAGAGAGAGAAGAAUAUACGGGACCAUGAAUUUCUCAUGCUCUCAUUAAAAGCACACACACACACACGAUAUAAGCCCACUCGAAUCGUUAUUUGCUUUUAUAAAAAUGCAUUUAUAGAUGAAUAAUCUGCAUGCAUUUUUAUAAACUCGCAGAUGCAUUUACGAAAAAAGUGUUCUUCGUUUUUCCAUGAUACAUCGUAAAAUGAUAAUUUUCAUGAUACAUUAUUUAUUGAUGAUCGUCCAUGUUAGGUGCAUUUAAUCAUUAAUCAUUAAAAUUGCUCACUUCAGAUAACAAUAAUACUUUUAUUUAAAUUUCCAAUUUUGUACGUUUCCAAUAUUUUUAAAAUAUAAGACUAAUAAGCUAAAAAGUGAAUGAAAUGCAAAAUUAAUACACGCAGGAACAUAGUAAUCGAUCGCGUAUUUAAAGCAAAUCGAGUAAAUGCAUAUUAAAGCAUACAUAUCCGCGUGUCAUGCACAGCUUGAAUAAACCAUUGGAAUUAUCAAUUAAUGCGUAUACGCCUGCGGAGAAUUGAAUCGAAUGGGCUUAAUGUAAACAUCAGAGUUCGUGCGAAGGAAAACCGCGAGGUAGCAAGAACAUCGUGCGAGGUAAAAAAAACAAACGUCCUUUCAUAUAUACUUACCUUUCAUUCGCGAAUUCUCUGGUUUGCACAAAUCGCGCGCAGCCAAUUACAAAAAUCCGCCCCACCGACGGUGUCACAUGUCAAAAGUAUUCCUAGCGGAAUAGAAGAAGGAGAAAUUAGGAA